rnacentral:rRNA from 1 species
AUUGAACGCUGGCGGCAUGCUUUACACAUGCAAGUCGAACGGUAACAGGCCUUCGGGUGCUGACGAGUGGCGAACGGGUGAGUAAUGCAUCGGAACGUGCCCAAUCGUGGGGGAUAACGUAGCGAAAGUUACGCUAAUACCGCAUAAGCCCUGAGGGGGAAAGCAGGGGAUCGCAAGACCUUGCGCGAAUGGAGCGGCCGAUGUCAGAUUAGCUAGUUGGUGGGGUAAAGGCCUACCAAGGCGACGAUCUGUAGCGGGUCUGAGAGGAUGAUCCGCCACACUGGGACUGAGACACGGCCCAGACUCCUACGGGAGGCAGCAGUGGGGAAUUUUGGACAAUGGGCGCAAGCCUGAUCCAGCCAUGCCGCGUGCGGGACGAAGGCCUCGGUU